rnacentral:rRNA from 1 species
UACGUAGGGGCCUAGCGUUGUCCGGAUUUAUUGGGCGUAAAGAGCUCGUAGGCGGUUUGGUGAGUCGGGUGUGAAAUCUCCACGCUCAACGUGGAGGGGCCACCCGAUACUGCCAUGACUAGAGUCCGGUAGGGGAGUGUGGAAUUCCCGGUGUAGCGGUGAAAUGCGCAGAUAUCGGGAGGAACACCGGUGGCGAAGGCGGUUCUCUGGGCCUGUACUGACGCUGAGGAGCGAAAGCGUGGGGAGCGAACAGG